CGAAAUGCGAUAAGUAGUGUGAAUUGCAGAAUUCCGUGAAUCAUCGAAUCUUUGAACGCAUAUUGCGCCUCCUGGCAUUCCGGGAGGCAUGCCUGUUCGAGCGUCACUGAAAAAGCAACUCGUGCAAGCCCAACCUUGCAUGGUCAUGGAGGAAGAGGGUUCCGCCUUGUUUUGCCAUCCUCCCCUCCCAAAAUCAAGGGCGUAAAGUCACUGGUGUAGUACCAUCGUUCGUCGAUCAUCCAGUGUCGUUUGCCGCCGUCAAACCCCCACAAUUCUCUUGAUUGACCUCGGAUCAGGUAGGGAUACCCGCUGAACUUAAGCAUAUCAAUAAGCGGAGGACAAGAAACCAACAGGGAUUGCCUUAGUAACUGCGAGUGAAGCGGCAUGAGCUCAAAUUUGAAAUCGGUGCCUACCAAUCGCAUCGAGUUGUAAUUUGGAGGGACGACUUCUGGCCGAACCGCAUCGUAAGUUCCUUGGAACAGGACGUCACAGAGGGUGAGAAUCCCGUGUCUUGAUGUCGGGUCGAACCGUGUGAAGCGUCUCCGACGAGUC
rnacentral:rRNA from 1 species